AAAGAUUAAGCCAUGCAUGUCUAAGUAAAAAUAACUCUUUACUGUGAAACUGCGAACGGCUCAUUAUAUCAGUUAUAGUUUACUUGAUAGUACCUUACUACUUGGAUACCCGUAGUAAUUCUAGAGCUAAUACAUGCAUCAACGCCCAAUCGGGCCGCGUUUAUUAGAUAGAAACCCAUAUUUUUGGUGAAUCAUAAUAACUGUGCGAAUCGCAUGGGUUUACCCCGGCGAUGAAUCAAUCAAGUUUCUGCCCUAUCAGCUUUCGAUGGUAGGGUAUUGGCCUACCAUGGCGUUAACGGGUAACGGAGAAUUAGGGUUCGAUUCCGGAGAGGGAGCCUGAGAAACGGCUACCACAUCCAAGGAAGGCAGCAGGCGCGUAAAUUACCCAAUCCUGACACAGGGAGGUAGUGACAAUAAAUAACAAUGCCGGGCUUUUUUAAGUCUGGCAAUUGGAAUGAGAACAAUUUAAAUCCCUUAACGAGGAUCAAUUGGAGGGCAAGUCUGGUGCCAGCAGCCGCGGUAAUUCCAGCUCCAAUAGCGUAUAUUAAUGUUGUUGCAGUUAAAAAGCUCGUAGUUGGAUUUCUGGUGGGAGCGGCCGGUCCGCCGCAAGGUGUGUACUUGGUUGUCUCCUGUCAUCCUUGUGGGAACUGCUCUGGCAUUAAGUUGUCGGGGUUAGGGAACACAUCGUUUACUGUGAAAAAAUUAGAGUGUUUAAAGCAGGCUUAUGCCGUUGAAUACAUUAGCAUGGAAUAAUAAGAUAGGACUUUGGCGUCUAUUUUGUUGGUUUGCACACCAAGGUAAUGAUUAAUAGGGAUAGUUGGGGGUAUUCGUAUUUAAUUGUCAGAGGUGAAAUUCUUGGAUUUAUGAAAGACGAACUUCUGCGAAAGCAUUUACCAAAGAUGUUUUCAUUAAUCAAGAACGAAAGUUAGGGGAUCGAAGAUGAUUAGAUACCAUCGUAGUCUUAACCAUAAACUAUGCCGACUAGGGAUUGGCGGUCGUUCAUUUAUGACUCCGUCAGCACCUUAUGAGAAAUCAAAGUCUUUGGGUUCCGGGGGGAGUAUGGUCGCAAGGCUGAAA
rnacentral:rRNA from 1 species